CUAGAGCCUUCAGGGAGAAAGGAAGCAGUUGCAUUUACCCCAGAUCCCAGUUCUCCGUGGCAAAGUCUGGAACGUGGAGGCCCUAGAAGCUAUUUUGAGUUUCCUGCAAGGACAGCAAGCCAGGGGGAGUGCACUGGCAGUUUAAUGGCAAGAAGAGAAUUUGAAUCAGCAUCCUGAAUACGGACAACAUCUUCAAAACCCUCUGCAGCAGCUCAUCCAAGACAUGGAAUGGAUCAAGUGUGUAGCCAGAAAGACAGGCUUCAUCUAGUCUCGCCCUGCUGAACACUGACCGUUUCUGUUCGUUUGGUUAAAGGAAUCUGUGAUAGCAAGAAUCCUUGCUUUGAGCAUAAAACUCCCACCCAAUCAAACUCUGUAGAACCAGCAAUCAUUGCUGUAAAUGGAAAACUGAGGGGAAGUAUAAAGUUGAGUUAAUGGCCAGAUGGAAAUAAAGCUAGAAGUUCUCUCAAAUAUCGGAUACUGAAGAUGUAUUUUUUUAACAGCCAAUUUUCCAUCUUGUAUGUUUUUUAAAUAUUAGUAAUGUAACAGUACUAUACAUCAGUGAAAAGAAUAAAAUAUCACUGCACACACCAAUUUGGAUGCAUCUCAGAAGAUAUUAUUAAGUGAAAAAAUCAAGUUGCAGAAGAAUUCAGACAGUGAUUCCAUUUAUAUCAACUCAGAACAUUCGAAACUAAAUCACCCACUGUGUGAGAAUAUCAACAUGUGUGUCAAAGCACGGUAAGGAUAAUUCAAGAUUCAGGGUGGUGGUUCCUUCUAAGAGCAGUAUGACAUCAUGGAGUGAUACAUAGAGGCCCUUAAAAGUGUCCCAAACACUCCAUAUUCCUUAUUUUGAGUGGUGGGCACAUGGUGAUCAGUUUUAUUGUAAAUCACUCUACCUUAUGCACAUAUUGUAAUUAAAUUUUUGUAUCCAUUCAGUGUUUAAUAAAAACAGCUAAAACUAAGUUGAGAACAUGCAUAUCUGUGUAGAGUAAAAUUUUCUCCCCUAUUGUAUGGUGUUUCCAUGUUCUUUCUCUAUUUCUUAACAGACUUUCAUGUUUAAGUAAACAGAUAUUUCAUGAGAAACAUGAAACAGAACCUUGUACUUUGGGAGUCCUUCAUAAAAAACAAAACAGCAUCAACAACACAAGGUUAAUUUUUAUCAAAGAGAAUUGAGUGGCUAUUUCUCCUUAUUGCCUGUGAAUGCAUUCAAAAGAGAUAAUCAAUUCAUGAGCAGUGGCUGUUUGGAACUGAACUUUUAUUUCCUCUGGACUAAGUUGGGUAUUUUUCCUGCGUCUCAUCCUUAAAGAAGACGCUAACUAUGGAGGCUGUAGCUGGAUUCAGAGCAAGACAUGCCAUGAGGGAAACCUAUCUGGAAUUAAGUAACAGCUCAUAGUCCAGUGUGAUGGCUGAUGUUCUAUGAGAGUGUAAGAUGUGUUGUCUCCUAAAAACUUCACUAUGCUGCAUCUUUCUCAUCCCCUCUCCCUGCCCGUGAAAUGACAUUAUGUAAUUUCCUCUUGUAUGCAAGCUAGUUAAUAGCUAAAUUCAGUCAAAAUCAAUUUGCGAAUAAGUAGACACCUCAUAAUAAAUAACACACUUUCAAAGUACCUGUUUUGGGA
rnacentral:lncRNA from 1 species